UAAUACGGGGGGAGCAAGCGUUGUUCGGAUUUACUGGGCGUAAAGGGCGCGUAGGCGGUCAGCACAAGUCAGUUGUGAAAUCUCCGGGCUUAACCCGGAAAGGUCAACUGAUACUGUGCGACUAGAGUGCGGAAGGGGCAACUGGAAUUCUCGGUGUAGCGGUGAAAUGCGUAGAUAUCGAGAGGAACACCUGCGGCGAAGGCGGGUUGCUGGGCCGACACUGACGCUGAUGCGCGAAAGCCAGGGGAGCGAACGGGAUU
rnacentral:rRNA from 1 species